GUCCAGCUGACGAGUCCCAAAUAGGACGAAACGCGUGAAGCAA
rnacentral:hammerhead_ribozyme from 1 species